GGAAAGGCGCGCGAUACAGGGUGACAGCCCCGUACACAAAAAUGCACAUGCUGUGAGCUCGAUGAGUAGGGCGGGACACGUGGUAUCCUGUCUGAAUAUGGGGGGACCAUCCUCCAAGGCUAAAUACUCCUGACUGACCGAUAGUGAACCAGUACCGUGAGGGAAAGGCGAAAAGAACCCCGGCGAGGGGAGUGAAAAAGAACCUGAAACCGUGUACGUACAAGCAGUGGGAGCACGCUUAGGCGUGUGACUGCGUACCUUUUGUAUAAUGGGUCAGCGACUUAUAUUCUGUAGCAAGGUUAACCGAAUAGGGGAGCCGAAGGGAAACCGAGUCUUAACUGGGCGUUAAGUUGCAGGGUAUAGACCCGAAACCCGGUGAUCUAGCCAUGGGCAGGUUGAAGGUUGGGUAACACUAACUGGAGGACCGAACCGACUAAUGUUGAAAAAUUAGCGGAUGACUUGUGGCUGGGGGUGAAAGGCCAAUCAAACCGGGAGAUAGCUGGUUCUCCCCGAAAGCUAUUUAGGUAGCGCCUCGUGAAUUCAUCUCCGGGGGUAGAGCACUGUUUCGGCAAGGGGGUCAUCCCGACUUACCAACCCGAUGCAAACUGCGAAUACCGGAGAAUGUUAUCACGGGAGACACACGGCGGGUGCUAACGUCCGUCGUGAAGAGGGAAACAACCCAGACCGCCAGCUAAGGUCCCAAAGUCAUGGUUAAGUGGGAAACGAUGUGGGAAGGCCCAGACAGCCAGGAUGUUGGCUUAGAAGCAGCCAUCAUUUAAAGAAAGCGUAAUAGCUCACUGGUCGAGUCGGCCUGCGCGGAAGAUGUAACGGGGCUAAACCAUGCACCGAAGCUGCGGCAGCGACGCUUAUGCGUUGUUGGGUAGGGGAGCGUUCUGUAAGCCUGUGAAGGUGUGCUGUGAGGCAUGCUGGAGGUAUCAGAAGUGCGAAUGCUGACAUAAGUAACGAUAAAGCGGGUGAAAAGCCCGCUCGCCGGAAGACCAAGGGUUCCUGUCCAACGUUAAUCGGGGCAGGGUGAGUCGACCCCUAAGGCGAGGCCGAAAGGCGUAGUCGAUGGGAAACAGGUUAAUAUUCCUGUACUUGGUGUUACUGCGAAGGGGGGACGGAGAAGGCUAUGUUGGCCGGGCGACGGUUGUCCCGGUUUAAGCGUGUAGGCUGG
rnacentral:rRNA from 1 species